rnacentral:rRNA from 1 species
UACGUAGGGUGCAAGCGUUGUCCGGAAUUAUUGGGCGUAAAGAGCUCGUAGGCGGCUUGUCGCGUCAACUGUGAAAACCCGUGGCUCAACCAUGAGGUCUGCAGUCGAUACGGGCAGGCUAGAAUUCGGUAGGGGAGACUGGAAUUCCUGAUGUAGCGGUGAAAUGCGCAGAUAUCAGGAGGAACACCGGUGGCGAAGGCGGGUCUCUGGGCCGAUAUUGACGCUGAGGAGCGAAAGCGUGGGGAGCGAACAGG